AGUUUAAUGUGGGUCGAGUGGUGGGAAGAGAUGGAGAGUAGCAUGUAAAAAGAGAUAACAUAUUGGAAGAAGAAUUGGGUAGACAAGAUUGGGUGGAAAAGGUUGUCUGGUACUUUCGUCUAGAAAUUGAAGUAGUUGUUUUUGAAGAGG
ensembl:ncRNA C05D12.9 ncRNA